GACGAACGCUGGCGGCGUGCUUAACACAUGCAAGUCGAACGGAAAGGCCCUUCUUUUGUGGGGUGCUCGAGUGGCGAACGGGUGAGUAACACGUUAGUAACCUGCCCUUGACUUUGGGAUAACUUCAGUAAACUGGGGCUAAUACCGGAUAGGAGCUCCUGCUGCAUGGUGGGGGUUGGAAAGUUUCGGCGGUUGGGGAUGGACUCGCGGCUUAUCAGCUUGUUGGUGGUGUAGUGGCUUACCAAGGCUUUGACGGGUAGCCGGCGUGAGAGGGUGACCGGCAACAUUGGGACUGAGAUGCGGCGCAGACUCCUACGGGAGGCAGCAGUGGGGGAUAUUGCAAAAUGGGCGGAAGCAUGAUGCAGCAACGCCGCGUGCGGGAUGACGGACUUCGGGGUGUAAACCGCUUUCGCCUGUGACGAAGAGUGAGUGACGGUAAUGGGUAAAGAAGCACCGGCUAACUACGUG
rnacentral:rRNA from 1 species